CUGCGGCGGAUUAGCUAGUUGGUGGGGUAACGGCCUACCAAGGCGAUGAUCCGUAGGGGGCGUGAGAGCGUGGCCCCCCACACGGGAACUGAGACACGGUCCCGACGCCUACGGGCGGCAGCAGUGAGGAAUCUUGCCCAAUGGGGGAAACCCUGAGGCAGCGACACCGCGUGCGGGAUGAAGGCCUUCGGGUCGUAAACCGCUUUUCUGGGGGACGAGUAAGGACGGUACUCCAGGAAUAAGUCCCGGCUAACUACGUGCCAGCAGCCGCGGUAAAACGUAGGGGGCGAGCGUUAUCCGGAAUCACUGGGCGUAAAGGGCGUCUAGGCGGCAGCCUAAGUCCCGUGUGAAAGCUCCCGGCUCAACUGGGAGAGGGCAUGGGAGACUGGGCAGCUAGAGACUCGGAGGGGGGUGUGGAAUUCCCGGUGGAGUGGUGGAAUGCGUUGAGAUCGGGAGGAACACCAGUAGCGAAGGCGGCACCCUGGCCGAGAUCUGACGCUGAAGCGCGAGAGCGUGGGGAGCGAACGGGAUUAGAUACCCCGGUAGUCCACGCCGUAAACGAUGACAACUAGGUGUUGGGUGUCCAAGGAUGCUCAGUACCGCAGCAAACGCGAUAA
rnacentral:rRNA from 1 species